UUAAGAUUUGGGAGGCAUAUCCAAAAUAAAAAAGCGCCAGCACUCUCCACUAAGUUUUCAGUUCUUUUCUUUCACGCUAUUCAAAGAACCCUAAGCCCCAAAUUUCAAAAUAAGGAUGGCACAGACUCUCCGCUACCACCACUUUGUUGUCCUCCCUCUCCAAUUGCUUUUAGUAAUGCGGUUAUGUGUUGGAAAACUGAGGAGCGUAGAACAUAGUGAAGAAGCAAAGUGGCAAAAUAAGAUUAAAAGAACAUUGUUUCUACAACAUCACAGAGAGGUGCUUGACAAAAUGCUUCAAUGAUUCGAGCUUUCAUUCGGGAAGAGUUUGAAAAAAUCUGACAAAACAGGGACUUAAAAAACAGGCAUAGAAGGCAUAGUUCAAAACUCUGUACCUUACCAUUCAAAUGUUACCUGCACAAACCUAAAGAAAUAAAUACAAAAGUUGUUAAAAGAUUAAGAUACCUUUGUGAUGCUGACGACAACUCGGGCGAAUUAAUAGCUAGACAACAAAUUCAAUAUUGGACUUAGGUCCCCAACUCCUUAUUUGGGACAUAAACUGACUUUUGUUGUAUUCAGGUCAGGUUAUUUCAUAUUGUUCCUUGAAAGAGUUUGUCAAUUACUCUUGUUUUCUUAAUUCACUUCUUUUCAUGUAAUCACAAUUUUAUUUAUAUAUAUUAACUUGCUCUUCUUUUUGAAUAAUGUCUAGCUAGAACUUUUACAAGCAUGUUACUAAUUGUUUCUUGGUUUCUGCAUUCUAUUUGUUUCUUGUAUUUGUUACUAAAAUGAUUUUGCAUUCUUGAGAAAAAAUUGCAUUUGCUUGUGGUUGUUGCCUGUUGACAAUAUCUGC